GUAGGUGAACCUGCGGAAGGAUCAUUAAUGAACCUUUGAGGGUUGAGCUGGCGAUUAACUUCGCAUGUGCUUGCCCUCUCAAUCUUCAUACACCUGUGCAUCUCUGAGGGGACAGUAGGCAUAACCUUUUUGGUAAUGUCGAGAUCCCCUUUAACAUACACUUUAUUUAUUUAAGAAUGUUCAAACGCUUAACAGCAUUUAAAUACAACUUUUAACAACGGAUCUCUUGGCUCUCGCAUCGAUGAAGAAC
rnacentral:misc_RNA from 1 species